rnacentral:rRNA from 1 species
UACGUAGGGUGCAAGCGUUAUCCGGAAUUAUUGGGCGUAAAGAGCUCGUAGGCGGUUUGUCGCGUCUGCUGUGAAAACUGGGGGCUCAACCCCCAGCCUGCAGUGGGUACGGGCAGACUAGAGUGCGGUAGGGGUGACUGGAAUUCCUGGUGUAGCGGUGGAAUGCGCAGAUAUCAGGAGGAACACCGAUGGCGAAGGCAGGUCACUGGGCCGCAACUGACGCUGAGGAGCGAAAGCGUGGGGAGCGAACAGG